GACAGAGGGUGCUAGCGUUGUUCGGAAUUACUGGGCGUAAAGGGCGCGUAGGCGGCUUGGCAAGUCGAGUGUGAAAGCCCGGGGCUCAACCCCGGAACUGCAUUCGAGACUGUCCGGCUGGAGUCCGGAAGAGGAAGGUGGAAUACCCAGUGUAGAGGUGAAAUUCGUAGAUAUUGGGUGGAACACCAGUGGCGAAGGCGGCCUUCUGGUCCGGAACUGACGCUGAGGCGCGAAAGCGUGGGGAGCAAACAGG
rnacentral:rRNA from 1 species